UACAGCCACAUCAACACUAAAACACCAGUUCCCAUAUGAUCAUUGAAGUUAAGCAAUGUUGAGCUUGGUCAGUACUUUGAUGGGUGACCGCUCAAGAAUACCAGGU